AACGAACGCUGGCGGCAUGCUUAACACAUGCAAGUCGAACGAGACCUUCGGGCUUUGUGGGGCUCGGCUGCUUACCGCCUGGUAACUUGCCCUUAGGUUCCCAAUACCUCCCUGUAAGGUGUCCUCAUACCGCUUAAUCUCUUCCGACCUAAGAUCUAUCGCCUUUGGAUGGGCGCGCGUUGGAUUCGCCAGUUGGUAGGGUAAUAGCCUGCCAAGGCGACGUUGCAUAGCUGGUCUGGGAGGAUGAUCUGCCACACUGGGACUGAGACACGGCCCAGACUCCUACGGAAGGCAGCAGUAGGGAAUAUUAGGCAAGGGACGAAAGCCUGAUCCAGCAAUGCCGCGUGAGUGAUGAAGGCCUUAGGGUUGUAAAGCUCUUUUACCCGAGAUGAUAAUGACAGUACCGGGAGAAUAAGCACCGGCUAACUCCGUG
rnacentral:rRNA from 1 species